AAGUCGAGCGAACAGACGAGGAGCUUGCUCCUCUGACGUUAGCGGCGGACGGGUGAGUAACACGUGGAUAACCUACCUAUAAGACUGGGAUAACUUCGGGAAACCGGAGCUAAUACCGGAUAAUAUAUUGAACCGCAUGGCUCAAUAGUGAAAGACGGUUUUGCUGUCACUUAUAGAUGGAUCCGCGCCGCAUUAGCUAGUUGGUAAGGUAACGGCUUACCAAGGCAACGAUGCGUAGCCGACCUGAGAGGGUGAUCGGCCACACUGGAACUGAGACACGGUCCAGACUCCUACGGGAGGCAGCAGUAGGGAAUCUUCCGCAAUGGGCGAAAGCCUGACGGAGCAACGCCGCGUGAGUGAUGAAGGUCUUCGGAUCGUAAAACUCUGUUAUUAGGGAAGAACAAAUGUGUAAGUAACUAUGCACGUCUUGACGGUACCUAAUCAGAAAGCCACGGCUAACUACGUGCCAGCAGCCGCGGUAAUACGUAGGUGGCAAGCGUUAUCCGGAAUUAUUGGGCGUAAAGCGCGCGUAGGCGGUUUUUUAAGUCUGAUGUGAAAGCCCACGGCUCAACCGUGGAGGGUCAUUGGAAACUGAAAAACUUGAGUGCAGAAGAGGAAAGUGGAAUUCCAUGUGUAGCGGUGAAAUGCGCAGAGAUAUGGAGGAACACCAGUGGCGAAGGCGACUUUCUGGUCUGUAACUGACGCUGAUGUGCGAAAGCGUGGGGAUCAAACAGGAUUA
rnacentral:rRNA from 1 species